rnacentral:rRNA from 1 species
CCUACGGGUGGCUGCAGUGGGGAAUAUUGGACAAUGGGCGAAAGCCUGAUCCAGCCAUGCCGCGUGUGUGAAGAAGGCCUUCGGGUUGUAAAGCACUUUCAGUGGGGAAGAAAGCCUUGGGGCUAAUACCCUCGAGGAAGGACAUCACCCACAGAAGAAGCACCGGCUAACUCCGUGCCAGCAGCCGCGGUAAUACGGAGGGUGCGAGCGUUAAUCGGAAUUACUGGGCGUAAAGCGCGCGUAGGCGGUCUGAUAAGCCGGUUGUGAAAGCCCCGGGCUCAACCUGGGAACGGCAUCCGGAACUGUCAGGCUAGAGUGCAGGAGAGGAAGGUAGAAUUCACGGUGUAGCGGUGAAAUGCGGAGAGAUCGGGAGGAAUACCAGUGGCGAAGGCGGCCUUCUGGACUGACACUGACGCUGAGGUGCGAAAGCGUGGGUAGCAAACAGGAUUAGAUACCCUAGUAGUC